rnacentral:rRNA from 1 species
UACGUAGGGUGCGAGCGUUACCCGGAAUUACUGGGCGUAAAGGGGGCGUAGGCGGCCCGGCAAGUCAAGUGUGAAAUCCGGCGGCUCAACCGCUGGGCUGCGCUUGAAACUGCCGGGCUUGAGUGCAGCAGAGGGAGACGGAAUUGCCGGUGUAGGGGUGAAAUCCGUAGAUAUCAGCAGGAACGCCGGUGGAGAAGUCGGUCUCCUGGGCCGUUCCUGACGCUGAGGCCCGAAAGCUAGGGGAGCAAACCGG